AUCUGAUUUAAAUUAGAAGUCGAGUAGGCCACUUGCUGUCUAAACCUUGAAAUGCCAAAAACAUUGAUAGCUCUUUUCAAAGAACUAGGCUUCCUGUUGAAAAUAAUCGAACUUGUGUUUUGUGUGAUAAAUUGCGUUCUGAUUUCGAGAUGUGCUAUCAGUUGGUGUUUUCGCAAAGGUCUACUGGAAAUGAAUAUUGCUUGCGCUUAUGGUUAUACCUUGGUUUUGGUCGCCAUAAUUAUGGCGUACGCAUUUGACGAACCACACAGGUCCACUGAAAAGGCUUUUCUACUCGUUGGAUGUGUCUUAAGUAUGAUAACGGGGAUCUUCACACUGGUACAAUUUAAAACAAGAGUGAAAUUGACUGAAGUUUGUCAUCAGGCAGAUAUCGUGAUGGUCGGUAUUUGCACUAUCGUUGGUGGUGGAUUUAUGCUUAUCGAUUACUUACGACAAUUGCAAUGGUGAAACGUCGUAGUAUUAGUAAAGUGUGGUAUAAAAUUAAAAUUGUUCCUUGAUUCUUUUGAAGAAAGUCACGUUAUUAUUAUUUAUUUUUAACAGAAACUCAAAUAAAGAUGUUUAAAUUU